CGAAUGCUGACGUGAGUAACGACAAAACGGGUGAAAAACCCGUUCGCCGAAAGACCAAGGGUUCCAGUCCAACGUUAAUCGGGGCUGGGUGAGUCGACCCCUAAGGCGAGGCCGAAAGGCGUAGUCGAUGGGAAAAUGGUUAAUAUUCCAUUACUUCUGUGUAAUGCGAUGAGAGGACGGAGAAGGCUAAAUCAGCCUGGCGUUGGUUGUCCAGGUGAAAGGAUGUAGGCAUGUAUCUUAGGCAAAUCCGGGGUACUCUAUGCUGAGAUCUGAUAGCAAGCUGUACUUGUACAGCGAAGUGGUUGAUGCCAUGCUUCCAGGAAAAGUCUCUAAGCUUCAGUUACACAGGAAUCGUACCCGAAACCGACACAGGUGGUCAGGUCGAGUAGACCAAGGCGCUUGAGAGAACUCUGCUGAAGGAACUAGGCAAAAUGGUACCGUAACUUCGGGAGAAGGUACGCUGUUGUUGGUGAUGGAACUCGCUUCCUGAGCUGACGACAGCCGCAGAAACCAGGCCGCUGCAACUGUUUAUUAAAAACAUAGCACUCUGCAAACACGAAAGUGGACGUAUAGGGUGUGAUGCCUGCCCGGUGCUGGAAGGUUAAUUGAUGGGGUUAGCGUAAGCGAAGCUCUUGAUCGAAGCCCCAGUAAACGGCGGCCGUAACUAUAACGGUCCUAAGGUAGCGAAAUUCCUUGUCGGGUAAGUUCCGACCUGCACGAAUGGCAUAAUGAUGGCGGCGCUGUCUCCAGCAGAGGCUCAGUGAAAUCGAAAUCGCUGUGAAGAUGCAGUGUACCCGCGGCUAGACGGAAAGACCCCGUGAACCUUUACUGCAGCUUGACACUGAACUUUGACCUUACUUGUGUAGGAUAGGUGGGAGGCUUUGAAGCUGGAACGCUAGUUCCAGUGGAGCCGUCCUUGAAAUACCACCCUGGUAAUGUUGAGGUUCUAACUCUGUCCCGUGAUCCGGGACGAGGACCGUGUCUGGUGGGUAGUUUGACUGGGGCGGUCUCCUCCUAAAGAGUAACGGAGGAGUACGAAGGUGCGCUCAGCGUGGUCGGAAAUCACGCGUAGA
rnacentral:rRNA from 1 species